GGAAAAGAGUGAAAGGCGAACCAAAGACCAUAAGCCACUUCUCUAUGUUUCCUACAAACGCUGGGGUGUCUAUUAUUCUGCAUAGUGGGGCGCAUUAAGCAAAUUCUCCUUUUUCAGGAUGACUGAAGCUGAAUUUCUGUUUACUUUUGUUUAUGCAUCUCCGUUAAACCAGGAUCAUAUCCUCAACCCCCAAAGAGGAGCAGGCCACCUUUGCCAUCAUCCUCAGCCUGGUCACCAGCCUGAGGCUUACACAGCCACCCAGAUCUUCCCCUCACCUUUCUCCUGGAGUGUAGAGAUUCCAUAUUCUCUUUCAUCUGGCUCCUGACAUCACUUCUCCGUAUUGACUGUGGGGCUCUUUUUCGGCUUGGAUUUUUCUCUUUGUUAAGACCCUGUGGGACCACAGAAAGCAGAAAAUAGUCAUUCAGGGGAGCUUGCUUUCUGACUUCCUCAGCUGAUGUUGUUGGUUACAUCUGCAACCAUACUACGAUAUGGUGUAGCACUGGCAUCAUGGGUAAGAUUCAUCCCCUUAUGUGAAUAAGUCUAAUGACGGUACUGCUGUUGAUGAUCAAAUAUAUCAGGAAGCUAAGUGAAAGCCUCCUCAGGAUAUAAUACUGAUGGAAAAUGACUGGCCUGAGGAAACACUAGAUUUCAUUAAUCGUCAUCUAAUUGCUAUGCUAAAUAGUUCUGGCCAGGUACGGUGGCUCACACCUGUAAUCUCAGCAUUUUGGGAGGCUGAUGUGGGAGGAUCACUUGAACCCAGGAGUUUGAGAGACCAGCCUGGGCAAUAUAAUGAGAUCCUGUCUCUACAAAAACUAAAAAGCUGAAAAAUAAAAUUAGUCAGGUA